CAACUACUCCCUCUGUCCCAAAUUUCUUGUCUUAGAUUUGUCUAGAUAUGGAUGUAUCUAAUACUAAAAUGUGACUUGAUACAUCCAUAUCUAGAAAAAUCUAAGACAAGAAUUUUGGGACGGAGGGAGUACUUU
rnacentral:pre_miRNA from 1 species